CCCAAUCAGGAUCACGCAAGCAGCGUGGCCGGAAACAGGCCGCCAAGUGGGCCUGGGGCAUUCCGGCUCGAGGGGUGUCAGGGCGCCUGUGAGCCCCAGGCCGGCCCCAGCAGCGUGCCUCUAACCGGCCUCCCACAGCACUGUCCCUGGAGAUGCGGAACCACGGGGAGGUGGCAAGCAGCCGUGUCUUGGCGCCCGACAUUUUCUGCCAUCACAGGCACAAGCUAGGAGCUCAGGACUCAGAGGUCGCUUACGCACAGUAUCACUUUUGUUUUAACGUUGUUAUUGGAUUUUGUGAGUCCGUGUUUAUCCUUAUGACCCUGCUUUCAAAGUGAAAGUCAACUGCAAGUCCAGGUGAGCCAGCAGCGAAGAGAAAGAUGAUUACCGUGGAAAGGGAAGUAGAAAUAGCGUUGGGAGAAAGGCCCCAUGCCGUCAUUCAUUGGGAAAGCGUUAGGCUUCAGCCCCUCAGCUAUAGGAACGAUUAUGAAGUGAGAAUAAUGGGACACGUAUGUGAAAGUCAGUGCUCCAAUGAAAGCAUCAAUUAUUACUAAGCAGCGUAGUGGAUUGAUUAUUGAAAUGGAAAAGUUAUUGUUGAUUCGGUUAGAAGAUCCAAAAUCGUGGAGCAUUCCUAUUAGCCUAGUGUUGAUGCAGCAUUAGGAAAAAGUUUAAUUGAGGGAAAACAUACUACAGUAGUCCCACCUUAUUCUGGUGAGAGGAGUAGAAGUGCCCUGGGAUCUAUCGAAGGUGGAGUGAGGACUUGGAUGUCAGGUUUUCUCCUUAGCUUCACGGAUUGUCAGAAGACUUCCUCGCCAACUCUUUGAAUUACUGUGCUUCCUAGAAAACUUUGAGAGAGGGAGAGGUGAAGAAGUUGGAAAAGAAGAAACAUUGCCAAGAGGAACAAGAGAAAAAUGGGCAGGAGAAGGAUGAAAAAUAGGGAGUGACCACUACUACCAUACCGUAAAAGUCUGUUAUCUAUGGAAUUUGCCAAAUGUGCAUCCACACAUAAUCAUAAAAUUCACUAAAAGCUUUUGCCACUUUUGCUUCAAGUA